GACAGAGGUGGCUAGCGUUGUUCGGAUUUAUUGGGCGUAAAGCGCACGCAGGCGGUUUGGUAAGUCAGGGGUGAAAGGCCACAGCUUAACUGUGGUAUUGCCUUUGAUACUGCCUUUCUUGAGUGCAUGAGGGGGAAGCGGAAUUCCGAGUGUAGAGGUGAAAUUCGUAGAUAUUCGGAGGAACACCGGUGGCGAAGGCGGCUUCCUGGCAUGUAACUGACGCUCAUGUGCGAAAGCGUGGGGAGCAAAC
rnacentral:rRNA from 1 species